rnacentral:rRNA from 1 species
UACGUAGGGUGCGAGCGUUGUCCGGAAUUAUUGGGCGUAAAGAGCUUGUAGGCGGUUUGUCGCGUCUGCCGUGAAAAUCCGAGGCUCAACCUCGGACUUGCGGUGGGUACGGGCAGACUAGAGUGUGGUAGGGGAGACUGGAAUUCCUGGUGUAGCGGUGAAAUGCGCAGAUAUCAGGAGGAACACCGAUGGCGAAGGCAGGUCUCUGGGCCACUACUGACGCUGAGGCGCGAAAGCCAGGGGAGCAAACGGG